GGCGAACGGGUGAGUAACACGUGAGCAACCUGCCCCGGACUCUGGGAUAAGCGCUGGAAACGGCGUCUAAUACUGGAUACGAGCUGCAACCGCAUGGUUAGCAGUUGGAAAGAUUUUUUGGUCUGGGAUGGGCUCGCGGCCUAUCAGCUUGUUGGUGAGGUAAUGGCUCACCAAGGCGUCGACGGGUAGCCGGCCUGAGAGGGUGACCGGCCACACUGGGACUGAGACACGGCCCAGACUCCUACGGGAGGCAGCAGUGGGGAAUAUUGCACAAUGGGCGAAAGCCUGAUGCAGCAACGCCGCGUGAGGGACGACGGCCUUCGGGUUGUAAACCUCUUUUAGCAAGGAAGAAGCGAAAGUGACGGUACUUGCAGAAAAAGCGCCGGCUAACUACGUGCCAGCAGCCGCGGUAAUACGUAGGGCGCAAGCGUUAUCCGGAAUUAUUGGGCGUAAAGAGCUCGUAGGCG
rnacentral:rRNA from 1 species